rnacentral:rRNA from 1 species
GGAACGAACGUUAGCGGCGCGCUUAACACAUGCAAGUCGAGCGAGAAAGGGCUUCGGCCCCGGUAAAGCGGCGCACGGGUGAGUAACACGUAGGUAAUUUGCCCUCGGGUGGUGGAUAACUUUCCGAAAGGAAAACUAAUACAGCAUGAGACCACGAUUCCGAAAGGGAUUGAGGUCAAAGCCGGCCAAUAUACAUAAGCUGGCGCCUGAGGAUGAGCCUGCGGCCCAUCAGCUAGUUGGUAGGGUAAUGGCCUACCAAGGCGAAGACGGGUAGCUGGUCUGGGAGGAUGAUCAGCCACACUGGAACUGAGACACGGUCCAGACUCCUACGGGAGGCAGCAGUGGGAAUCUUGCGCAAUGGGCGAAAGCCUGACGCAGCGACGCCGCGUGAGUGAUGAAGGCCUUCGGGUGUAAAGCUCUGUGGAGGGGACGAAUAAGGGCUGGCUAAUAUCCAGUCUGAUGACGUACCCUUAGCAAGCACCGGCUAACUCUGUG